rnacentral:lncRNA from 1 species
AGCUUUUCCAGAUCUCUGGAGCCCUUUUCAGCUCAUUAGCAUUUGUGCUUGCCCUGGGGGAAGAAUCCACCAUUCCAGCUCAGGCAAUCAGCUGCCAGCUCCUCCCCUCUGUGAGCAAUGAUCCUAACUUCAGACCUUGCCUGAACAUUCUUCAUAGCACUUGCGUUCUUUUUCCUGAAAUCAAGGGUGUGUGGACCACCUGGGGAUCUCCAUUCCCACACACAGCAUCCUCUCCCACUGAGGCCAGACAUGGCAGUCCAUUAAGGGAACAGAUUCCAAAGAUAGGCAGCAGCUUUAUGGCCAGCCAGUGCUACAGUUAUUGGAGGACCCUCAUGAAGACUGAGCUGCACAUCUGCUACCUACAUGUCAGGGGCCUUAGUCCAGUGUAUCCUAUUUGGAUUGUCAGAAGAUGACCUCAGAACUCCUGAUCUUCAUGUAAUGGGUUGUUGUUGAUCCCAAUGCAUAUGCUAGAAAUUGACAACCAUUAUGAGGAAGACCAGCAAGGGUGUUCCACUGUUGAGCUAUUUCUCCUGCCCUAUGUUGCUUAUUUAUGAUCAAUAUUUGUAUUACUCCUAUUUUCACCUGUCCAUUUGUAACUGUUUAAACAUGCAUUCCCUUUUAGUAAAAUGUUAUUAAUGUUGUAGUUUAAACUGGUAUACUUCAUGUUUCUGGAAGAUGAAUACAGGAUUGCAGUGAAUUUAUAAUUGUUUGUAUUAGCUUCAGUAAAGAAUUGUGAGUU